rnacentral:misc_RNA from 1 species
GAUGAAGAACGUAGUGAAAUGCGAUACGUAAUGUGAAUUGCAGAAUUCAGUGAAUCAUCGAAUCUUUGAACGCACAUUGCGCCUGCCAGCACUCUGGCAGGCAUGCCUGUUCGAGCGUCAUUUCAACCAUCAAGCCCUAGGCUUGCGUUGGAGCCCUGCGGCUGCCGCAGGCCCCUAAAAGCAGUGGCGGGCUCGCUAUCACACCGAGUGCAGUAGAUUACUCUUCGCUCAGGGCGUGUGGCGGGUUCCAGCCGUGAAACCCCCUACUUCUCAAGGUUGACCUCGGAUCAGGUAGGAAUACCCGCUGAACUUAAGCAUAUCAAUAAGCGGAGA